AGCUUUGUGCAGUGGCAGUAUCGUAGCCAAUGAGGUUUAUCCGAGGCGCGAUUAUUGCUAAUUGAAAGAUUCAAGGGUGGUCAAACAUCCUUUGAUCUUAGUAGCUUGCUAAAAAAGCAAAGAAGCCUGUGACUGUCUGCACCAGG